rnacentral:snRNA from 1 species
AUCGCUUCUCGGCCUUUUGGCUAAGAUCAAAGUUUAGUUUCUGUUCUUAUGAACAAGAGCAAAACAGAGAGAAAAGGAGGCACAACGCACAGAAACAAUUUUGCAUAUGCAUUGCAAAAAGGAAAUUUUGGCAAACCACU